rnacentral:tRNA from 1 species
GCGGGCGUAGCUCAGUGGUAGAGCUCCAGCCUUCCAAGCUGGUCAUGUGGGUUCGAUUCCCAUCGCCCGCUCCA